AGAGUUUGAUCCUGGCUCAGGAUGAACGCUAGCUACAGGCUUAACACAUGCAAGUCGAGGGGCAGCAUGACGGAAGCUUGCUUCCGUUGAUGGCGACCGGCGCACGGGUGAGUAACGCGUAUCCAACCUGCCCUUGUCCAUCGGAUAACCCGUCGAAAGGCGGACUAACACGAUAUGCAGUCCACAGCAGGCAUCUAACGUGGACGAAAUGUGAAGGAGAAGGAUGGGGAUGCGUCUGAUUAGCUUGUUGGCGGGGUAACGGCCCACCAAGGCGACGAUCAGUAGGGGUUCUGAGAGGAAGGUCCCCCACAUUGGAACUGAGACACGGUCCAAACUCCUACGGGAGGCAGCAGUGAGGAAUAUUGGUCAAUGGGCGAGAGCCUGAACCAGCCAAGUAGCGUGCAGGAAGACGGCCCUAUGGGUUGUAAACUGCUUUUAUACGGGGAUAAAGUGGGCCACGUGUGGCUUAUUGCAGGUACCGUAUGAAUAAGGACCGGCUAAUUCCGUGCCAGCAGCCGCGGUAAUACGGAAGGUUCGGGCGUUAUCCGGAUUUAUUGGGUUUAAAGGGAGCGUAGGCCGUCUGUUAAGCGUGUUGUGAAAUGUCGGGGCUCAACCUGGGCAUUGCAGCGCGAACUGGCAGACUUGAGUGCGCAGGAAGUAGGCGGAAUUCGUCGUGUAGCGGUGAAAUGCUUAGAUAUGACGAAGAACUCCGAUUGCGAAGGCAGCCUGCUGUAGCGCAACUGACGCUGAAGCUCGAAAGCGUGGGUAUCGAACAGGAUUAGAUACCCUGGUAGUCCACGCGGUAAACGAUGGAUGCUCGCUGUUUGCGUCUGACGUAAGCGGCCAAGCGAAAGCGUUAAGCAUCCCACCUGGGGAGUACGCCGGCAACGGUGAAACUCAAAGGAAUUGACGGGGGCCCG
rnacentral:rRNA from 1 species